rnacentral:rRNA from 1 species
UACGUAGGGGGCUAGCGUUGUCCGGAAUCAUUGGGCGUAAAGCGCGUGUAGGCGGUCCGGUAAGUCCGCUGUGAAAGUCGGGGGCUCAACCCUCGGAUGCCGGUGGAUACUGUCGGGCUUGAGUACGGAAGAGGCGAGUGGAAUUCCUGGUGUAGCGGUGAAAUGCGCAGAUAUCGUAAGGAAGACCAGUGGCGAAGGCGGGUCUCUGGACAGUUCCUGACACUGAGACACGAAGGCCAGGGGAGCAAACGGG